AGUGAACGCUGGCGGUAGGCCUAACACAUGCAAGUCGAACGGCAGCACAGUAAGAGCUUGCUCUUACGGGUGGCGAGUGGCGGACUGGUGAGGAAUACAUCGGAAUCUACUUUUUCGUUGGGGAUAACGUAGGGAAACUUACGCUAAUACCGCAUACGACCUACGGGUGAAAGCAGGGGAUCUUCGGACCUUGCGCGAUUGAAUGAGCCGAUGUCGGAUUAGCUAGUUGGCGGGGUAAAGGCCCACCAAGGCGACGAUCCGUAGCUGGUCUGAGAGGAUGAUCAGCCACACUGGAACUGAGACACGGUCAAGACUCCUACGGGAGGCAGCAGUGGGGAAUAUUGGACAAUGGGCGCAAGCCUGAUCCAGCCAUACCGCGUGGGUGAAGAAGGCCUUCGGGUUGUAAAGCCCUUUUGUUGGGAAAGAAAAGCAGCAGGUUAAUACCCCGCUGUUCUGACGGUACCCAAAGAAUAAGCACCGGCUAACUUCGUG
rnacentral:rRNA from 1 species